AACGCGAAGAACCUUACCUACCCUUGACAUGUACGGAAUCCUGCUGAAAGGUGGGAGUGCUCGAAAGAGAGCCGUAACACAGGUGCUGCAUGGCUGUCGUCAGCUCGUGUCGUGAGAUGUUGGGUUAAGUCCCGCAACGAGCGCAACCCUUGUCCUUAGUUGCUACGCAAGAGCACUCUAAGGAGACUGCCGGUGACAAACCGGAGGAAGGUGGGGAUGACGUCAAGUCCUCAUGGCCCUUAUGGGUAGGGCUUCACACGUCAUACAAUGGUCGGUACAGAGGGCUGCCAAAUCGCGAGAUGGAGCUAACCCCAGAAAACCGAUCGUAGUCCGGAUCGCAGUCUGCAACUCGACUGCGUGAAGUUGGAAUCGCUAGUAAUCGCGGAUCAGCAUGUCGCGGUGAAUACGUUCCCGGGCCUUGUACACACCCUACAGU
rnacentral:rRNA from 1 species